rnacentral:rRNA from 1 species
AACGAACGCUGGCGGCAGGCCUAACACAUGCAAGUCGAGCGAGGACUUAGGUCCUAGCGGCGGACGGGUGAGUAACGCGUGGGAACGUGCCCUUUGCUACGGAAUAGCCCCGGGAAACUGGGAGUAAUACCGUAUGUGCCCGAGAGGGGAAAGAUUUAGCGGCAAAGGAUCGGCCCGCGUUGGAUUAGGUAGUUGGUGGGGUAAUGGCCUACCAAGCCGACGGUACAUAGCUGGUUUGAGAGGAUGAUCAGCCACACUGGGACUGAGACACGGCGCAGACUCCUACGGGAGGCAGCAGUGGGGAAUCUUAGACAAUGGGGGAAACCCUGAUCUAGCCAUGCCGCGUGAGCGAUGAAGGCCUUAGGGUUGUAAAGCUCUUUCAGUGGGGAAGAUAAUGACGGUACCCACAGAAGAAGCCCCGGCUAGCACCGUGCCAGCAGCCGCCGUAAAAC